rnacentral:rRNA from 1 species
UACAGAGGUCUCAAGCGUUGUUCGGAUUCAUUGGGCGUAAAGGGUGCGUAGGUGGCACCGUAAGUCGGGUGUGAAAUUUCGGAGCUUAACUCCGAAACUGCAUUCGAUACUGCGGUGCUUGAGGACUGGAGAGGAGACUGGAAUUCAUGGUGUAGCAGUGAAAUGCGUAGAGAUCAUGAGGAAGACCAGUGGCGAAGGCGGGUCUCUGGACAGUUCCUGACACUGAGGCACGAAGGCCAGGGGAGCAAACGGG